GAUGAACGCUGGCGGCGUGCCUAAUACAUGCAAGUCGAGCGAACAGAUGAGGAGCUUGCUCCUCUGACGUUAGCGGCGGACGGGUGAGUAACACGUGGAUAACCUACCUAUAAGACUGGGAUAACUUCGGGAAACCGGAGCUAAUACCGGAUAAUAUAUUGAACCGCAUGGUUCAAUAGUGAAAGACGGUUUUGCUGUCACUUAUAGAUGGAUCCGCGCCGCAUUAGCUAGUUGGUAAGGUAACGGCUUACCAAGGCAACGAUGCGUAGCCGACCUGAGAGUGUGAUCGGCCACACUGGAACUGAGACACGGUCCAGUCUCCUACUGGAGGCAGCAGUAGGGAAUCUUCCGCAAUGGGCGGAAGCCUGACGGAGCAGUGCCGCGUGAGUGAUGAAGGCCUUCGGAUCGUAAGACUCUGUUAUUAGGGAAGAACAAAUGUGUAAGUAACUAUGCACGUCUUGACGGUACCUAAUCAGACCGCCACGGCUAACUACGUG
rnacentral:rRNA from 1 species